rnacentral:tmRNA from 2 species
GGGGACGCGUGGAUUCGACAGAGGAUUACCUCUUGGGAUUGCAGGCCGAGGUCUCACCUCCCUCGUUAAUAAAGGUGAGCUAUAUAUAAUUGGCGAAAAUAAACUCGCUGCGGCUGCCUAAAUAGUGUAGCCACGUCUGACUGUGUCUAUCCCCGAUGAUACAACUCAGGCGCUAUAAAAUCGGGGUGCGAAUCACUCCCAUACCGAUAAGAGUGAUCUAAGAAAAAUCGGUUGGCCUUGAUAGUACUCGUGCCAGUAGUGGGACAUCAAGGCGAGAUUUAAACUACAGGAUAAGCCUGUAGUACAUCCCAACUGGGCAUUCUUUGGACGGGGGGUUCGACUCCCCCCCGUCUCCACCA